UACGUAGGGACCAAGCGUUGUUCGGAUUUACUGGGCGUAAAGGGCGCGUAGGCGGCCUCUGCAAGUCGACUGUGAAAUCUCCGGGCUUAACCCGGAAAGGUCAGCCGAUACUGCAGGGCUAGAGUGCAGAAGGGGCAACUGGAAUUCUCGGUGUAGCGGUGAAAUGCGUAGAUAUCGGGAGGAACACCGGUGGCGAAGGCGGUUCUCUGGGCCUGUACUGACGCUGAGGAGCGAAAGCGUGGGGAGCGAACAGG
rnacentral:rRNA from 1 species